rnacentral:rRNA from 1 species
CAGCCGCCGCGGGAAUACGGAGGGUGCAAGCGUUAAUCGGAAUUACUGGGCGUAAAGCGUGCGUAGGCGGUUCGUUAAGUCUGUUGUGAAAGCCCCGGGCUCAACCUGGGAAUGGCAAUGGAUACUGGCGAGCUAGAGUGUGUCAGAGGAUGGUGGAAUUCCCGGUGUAGCGGUGAAAUGCGUAGAGAUCGGGAGGAACAUCAGUGGCGAAGGCGGCCAUCUGGGACAACACUGACGCUGAGGCACGAAAGCGUGGGGAGCAAACAGGAUUAGAUACCCGCGUAGUCCCUGUCUCUUAUAC